GCCAGACUCCUACGGGAGGCAGCAGUGGGGAAUAUUGCACAAUGGGGGAAACCCUGAUGCAGCGACGCCGCGUGAAGGAAGAAGUAUUUCGGUAUGUAAACUUCUAUCAGCAGGGAAGAAAAUGACGGUACCUGACUAAGAAGCCCCGGCUAACUACGUGCCAGCAGCCGCGGUAAUACGUAGGGGGCAAGCGUUAUCCGGAUUUACUGGGUGUAAAGGGAGCGUAGGCGGUUUAGCAAGUCUGAAGUGAAAGCCCGCGGCCCAACUGCGGGACUGCUUUGGAAACUGCCCGGCUAGAGUGCUGGAGAGGUAAGCGGAAUUCCUAGUGUAGCGGUGAAAUGCGUAGAUAUUAGGAGGAACACCAGUGGCGAAGGCGGCUUACUGGACAGUAACUGACGUUGAGGCUCGAAAGCGUGGGGAGCAAACAGGAUUAGAUACCCGCGUAGAA
rnacentral:rRNA from 1 species